AUGAAACACUCCUACGGGAGGCAGCAGUGGGGAAUUUUGGACAAUGGGCGAAAGCCUGAUCCAGCCAUGCUGCGUGAGUGAAGAAGGCCUUCGGGUUGUAAAGCUCUUUCAGCCGGAAAGAAAUCGCGCAGGAUAAUACUCUGCGUGGAUGACGGUACCGGAAGAAGAAGCACCGGCUAACUACGUGCCAGCAGCCGCGGUAAUACGUGGGGUGCGAGCGUUAAUCGGAAUUACUGGGCGUAAAGCGUGCGCAGGCGGUUAUGUAAGACAGAUGCGAAAUCCCCGGGCUCAACCUGGGAACUGCGUUUGUGACUGCAUAACUAGAGUACGGCAGAGGGAGGUGGAAUUCCGCGUGUAGCAGUGAAAUGCGUAGAUAUGCGGAGGAACACCGAUGGCGAAGGCAGCCUCCUGGGCCAGUACUGACGCUCAUGCACGAAAGCGUGGGGAGCAAACAGGAUUAGAAACCCUUGUAGUCCGAAGUUC
rnacentral:rRNA from 1 species